rnacentral:rRNA from 1 species
AAAACGACUCUCGGCAACGGAUAUCUCGGCUCUCGCAUCGAUGAAGAACGUAGCGAAAUGCGAUACUUGGUGUGAAUUGCAGAAUCCCGCGAACCAUCGAGUCUUUGAACGCAAGUUGCGCCCAAAGCCUUUUGGCCGAGGGCACGUCUGCCUGGGUGUCACGCAACAU